rnacentral:misc_RNA from 1 species
CAUAGAUAAAGUAUCAUAAAAAUGACACUGCAUGCACUUAUGGCUGUUACUAUAUGUGCAAUGGAAUGCAGUAUAUAAGAAAUAUAGCGCCCAUGAGCAUUUUAUCCAACAAAUAAAAUAACCAAUUUAAAAGAACCAAAUCCGCUGAUUGUUAACUCUAGAUACUUCAAACCCAUUUUCUACAUGGCAUAUACUAAAACUUCAACGCAUCUAAAGCAUCUUAAAACCAAAACUCAAAUGCUAUUACAGUGCUGGGAUUACAUGCUGUCACACUUGCUCAAGUCAAAGCACCAAAAGGGAACACCGAACUUACUGAUACAUCUACCCAAAGAAAGUUUACACUCAGCAAAAGUUCCCAAGGGAAGAAGGAGAGUUUAUAUUCACACACGACAAUAUACACAGAUGUAUCAAGUUAUUUUUGCUGGAAAUUAAAUAAAAAGAAGUAUAUUAGUUGGGUACCUAAAAAUUCAAUGUUUUAAGAACAAUUAAACAAAUCAUCCUAAAUUCGACAAAGAUUACAUAUAUUGAUCCAUAUAACACAUAAGUAAAUUACACACACCUGCAAAUUACAAUAUAAAAAACUGAAAUUUUACUGACUUUGCAAGCUCAUAUUUUAAUCGUGGCAUUGCCAAUUGAACAAGAUCAAAUAAAAGCUACUGUAAGAGUGAAUAAUUAGGAUACCUGCAAAAAGAAAAAGUUUUUAAAAAUCUCAAAAUAUACAGAAAUAUUAGAUCCUAAAGGAUUGAUAUGAUUAUCUUGCAUUAACAAGCCUCCAUGAACAGAUAGCUGAGGACAUUGAAUGUGUUUAGUUGGUUUCACAGUGGAUGGCAUAUCGGUCAUUAUUCAUUGAACCAAUAUUAUCCAACCUACAUUUUUAAUUUUAUAGCAACUUCUUUUAUCUGCUAAUUUGCUAUAAAAUUCUCAACUGUGUUUCUAUUGGAUAAUUCAACAUUAUAAAAAUUUAAAAAUUUUUAUAAGAAAAUCUCAAACUUAAUAGAGUUAAUGAACAAAGAAAAAGUUCCCUUAAUUUGCAUGCCCAGGAGUUAAUUAGUUGAUGAUGAAUACUAAUUCAAACCCAUAAUGCACCAGCAUGUCUAAGCAUGAGUUAAUUCCGAUAGAAAAACAUGAGAAAAGAGAAUUGAAUUCAGUGUGUUCAAAUAGAGUGAAUUCCGUAAGAAAUACAUGAGCAGAAAGAGACCAUUGAGAAUGACAGAUGAGGACACUAACUUCAAAACUAACCACAAAACAACAUGCAUAAAAUUUUCUCAAGAAACAACCAUUAAAACCUACAAAAUUAAGAAGAGAAGCCAAAACAUGCAGAGCCAAACUUGAGCUGAAAAGCUCAAAAUAUAACUUCUCUAAUACCAAACGCUGAGUUUCGCUCAUAAUAAACCCGAACUUCCUACAUCAUGAGACUCAACAAACAAACACGCUAUCUGCUCACGGGGUUUUCUGAUAAUCAAACCUGCAAUUCCGCGAUUCUGACAGAGAGGACGGAGCAGCCGAGCAGCAGCUGCGCAUGCAGCCAGAUUAAGGGGCAGCGGCAACAACAAUAGAGUUACUGGCUUGGAGGAGGAACGACGACAAGGACUCAGUCAAUGGCACGAGGCCGAGAGAUAGAGAGAGAGAGAGAGUUAAUAUGGCUACGGCCGAUGAGAAAAAGACGAGGAAAAGAAAGAGGUUUAAGGCUGCG